CCUGGUGCUAUUAGCGCAGGGGGUACACCCGGUCCCAUCCCGAACCCGGAAGUUAAGCCCUGCAGCGCCGAUGAUACUUGGGUGGGAAACCCCCUGGGAAAGUAGGACAGUGCCAUGA
rnacentral:rRNA from 1 species